AGGACGAACGCUGGCGGCGUGCUUAACACAUGCAAGUCGAGCGGUAAGGCCCUUUCGGGGGUACACGAGCGGCGAACGGGUGAGUAACACGUGGGUGACCUGCCCUCAGCUCUGGGAUAAGCCUGGGAAACUGGGUCUAAUACCGGAUAUGACCUUUCCUCGCAUGGGGUUUGGUGGAAAGUUUUUCGGCUGGGGAUGGGCCCGCGGCCUAUCAGCUUGUUGGUGGGGUGAUGGCCUACCAAGGCGACGACGGGUAGCCGG
rnacentral:rRNA from 1 species